rnacentral:lncRNA from 1 species
AUCCUUAGAACCACCUUAAAAAAAAAAAAAAAAACCAAGGCAUCUUGUCCAUCUGCAACUACAAAAAUAAAAAAAAAAAGAAUGCUUGAAGACAGAUAAGACUUGGAAUGUAGUAAUCUCAGUAAAUUCUUCAUAUGAUUUGGUUAAAAGUAAAAGAAAGGCCAACAAUUAGGUGGAAAAAUGAGCAAGGAUGUUGAUAAGCAGGUCUUGGGAAACAAAGCUGUAGAUGGUUCUUGAACCUCAAAGGUACUUAACUGUACAGCCUGGUGGUGCAGCCAGCAAUUCCUGUGACUCAGGAAGUUGAAGCAGGAGGAUCCCAAGUUCAGGUCAGCUUGGGCAACCAAGUGAACCCCUCAGCAAGUCAGAAGACCCUGACUCAAAAAGUGGGGGUUGGGCUGGGAUUGUGGCUCAAUGGUGGAGCACUUGCCUGGCAUAUAUGAGGCCCUGGGUUCCAUCCUCAACACUCCAUACAAAUAAAUGAGUGAAUGAAUGAAUGAACAAAUAAGAAAAUAAAAGAUUAACAACUAAAAAACAUUUAAAAAUAAAGUGGGGGGUGGCUGGGGCUCGGGGCAUACGCGUGUAAUCCCAAUGGCUUGGGAGACUGAGGCAGGAGGAUCUUGAGUUCAAAGCCAGCCUCAGCAAAAGGGAGGUGCCAAGCAACUCGGUGAGACCCUGUCUCUAAUAAAAUAUAUAUAUAUAAAAAAAAAAAGGCUGCAGGGGCUGGGUUGUGUGUCAGGGGUAAGGUCCUUGCCUAGCAUGCGUGAAGCACUGGGUUCGAUCCCUGGCACCACCUAAAAAUAAAAACAAAAUUAAAGGUAUUGUGUCCAUGUACAACUUAAAAAAAAAAAAGGCUGGGGAUGUGGCUCAGUGAUUAAGCACCCCUGGGUUCAAUUCCCAGUAUCAAAACAAAAGGGUGGUGCUGGAGAUGUGUGGUAGAGUACCCCGUGGUUCUCAAUUCCCAGUACCAAAACAAAAACAAUGAGCAGUUAGGCUUUACUUACUAUGAUGGAAAAAUCAAGCAAGGAAGUAUUUCUGAGGACUGCGAAAACCUGAGGCUGAUAAUAAUAAUCAGAAUAUAAAUUGGUGCCAGCCACCUCUGAGGAAGUUGGGUAGCAGGUCUGUCUUUCACUUGGGGUUGAACCCAUGGGUCCGUUUAACACUGAACUUCAUCCCAAGCCCUUUAUGUUUAUUUUUAAGAAAUUUUGAGACAGGGUAUGGGUAAGUUGCCAAGGGUCAUGCUCAGUUUCCAAGGCUAGUCUGGGAUAACAGGCUUGCAUGACCGCCCUCACUUUUUUCCUUUUCCCUGGGGAUAGGAUCCAGGGCCUUGGAUAUGUUAGAAAAGUGCUCACCCACCGAACUAAAGCCUCAGCUCAGUAUCUUUGGUUUAUUUGAUUAUUAUUAUGAUGAUGAUUAUUUUGGUGUGCUGCGGAUCAAACCCAGGGCUUUGUGCAUUUAAGGCAAGCACUCUACCAGCUGAGCUAUCUAUAUCCCCAAUCCUUAAUUUGAAAGCAUUCCGCAGCCUACCUAGAGAUCUUGCUUCCCUGAGACAGCAGUGGUGAAGAGGGCAGCUCUAGAACCCUGGGUCUGAUCAGGCCCACCUUUGUGCAGUUGUUCUGUUGGGCAGUGAUUGUGCUGACCUUUGUAGGGCUGUCCUGCGAGGAUGAAAGGAGGGAGGAGAGUAGAUGAGACUAGUACUCCCCGUAGUAAGGGCUCAGGUAUUAUCUGUAAAACUGACUUUUCGUGAUGUCAGGGUAUCUGUUGUGUGGUUUAAGAUGGCAAAAAGCUGAUGGACCAUUGGGUCCUUAUAUGCAGACUUUAGAGAUUGAAUUGAUU